rnacentral:tRNA from 1 species
AAGUAAAGAAGUAAAAUACACUUAAUUUCGACUUAAGAUUAGAAAAUUAAUUUUCCGUACUUA